GGUUCCAUGUGAACAGCAGUUGGACAUGGGUAAGUCGAUCCUAAGAGAUAGGGAAACUCCGUUUUAAAGUUGAACGAUUUUUCGUUCCACCUUAUCAAAAGGGAAUCCGGUUAAUAUUCCGUAACUAGGCUAUGGAUAUUUACUACGGUAACGUAAAUGAAAGAUUUUUAAAUUUAAUUGAUUAAACUUUCAUUAUUACGUUC
rnacentral:ncRNA from 1 species